CAGCCGCCGCGGUAAUACGUAGGGGGCGAGCGUUACCCGGAUUCACUGGGCGUAAAGCGGGUGUAGGCGGCUCGGUAAGUCGGGUGUGAAAUCCCACAGCUCAACUGUGGAAUUGCGCCCGAAACUGCUGAGCUUGGGGCCGGUAGAGGGAGACGGAACUGCCGGUGUAGGGGUGAAAUCCGUAGAUAUCGGCAGGAACGCCGGUGGGGAAGCCGGUCUCCUGGGCCGCGCCCGACGCUGAGACCCGAAAGCUAGGGGAGCAAACCGGAUUAGAUACCCGGGUAGUCCUAGCCGUAAACGAUGCCCACUAGGUGUGGGGGAUUAAUUCCUCCGUGCUGUAGCUAACGCGUUAAGUGGGCCGCCUGGGGAGUACGGCCGCAAGGUUGAAACUUAAAGGAAUUGGCGGG
rnacentral:rRNA from 1 species